UAAAAUCUUGUUGCCACUGAUGAAUUACUGCUAGAAUCUUCCUUUAAUUUAAGUUGAGGAUUCGCAGUUUCUGAGGCAAAUUAGAAAA